CACUACACUCCAUCUCUCCCUCUCUCUAUCUUAAUCUUCUUCAUAUCUUCAAGUCUUGUUCUUGAAGAUUCAACAUCCUUUCUAGUAAACUUCAAGAUAGUGUGAAGAUCUAAGGUUGUUCCCAAGGUGUUGUCAAGUGAAUACAAGCUUCCUAUCAUCCCAUAACUUACUUGAAUCUUGAAGGCACUUGUACAUGAAGAUACAUUUCGAUUUAAAGCUCAAGAAAUGGUGAAGUUGCUUAGUCUUGAUUGCGAAUAGGAAGCAUGCUCACUUAGGACCGGACGAGGCCUUAGUGAUUUAAUAAUGAUAUUAGUCUAUGUUUGAUUUGCUUGUUUAACUUUAAAACCAUGUUUAAUAUUUAAUGAAAUGAAACUCUUCGUAUCCAUGGUUUGAAACAAUAAUUCUGUUACAACACUCCCCGGCGUUUCCGCCACGAUUUGUCGUUUUACGUGGUCGGGGUGU
rnacentral:lncRNA from 1 species